rnacentral:rRNA from 1 species
AUUGAACGCUGGCGGCAGGCCUAACACAUCCAAGUCGAGCGAGCGGCGGACGGGUGAGUAAUGUAUGGGAAACUGCCAGAUGGAGGGGGAUAACUACUGGAAACGGUAGCUAAUACCGCAUACUAUCAGAUGAGCCCAUAUGGGAUUAGCUAGUAGGUGGGGUAAUGGCUCACCUAGGCGACGAUCCCUAGCUGGUCUGAGAGGAUGACCAGCCACACUGGGACGGAGACACGGUCCAGACUCCUACGGGAGGCAGCAGUGGGGAAUAUUGCACAAUGGGCGCAAGCCUGAUGCAGCCAUGCCGCGUGUAGGAAGAAGGCCUUCGGGUUGUAAAGCACUUUCAGCGAGGAGGCGUUACUCGCAGAAGAAGCACCGGCUAACUCCGUGCCAGCAGCCGCGGUAAUUC